GGACACGACUCUCGGCAAUGGAUAUCUUAGCUCUCACAUCGAUGAAGAAUGCAGUGAGAUGCGAUACAUGGUGCGAAUUGUAGAAUCUCGUGAACCAUUGAGUCUUUGAACACAAGUUGUGCCCGAGGUCAGUCGAUCGAGAACACAUUUGCCUGGGCGUCAAG
rnacentral:rRNA from 1 species